CAGUCGCCACGGUAAAACGUAGGUGGCAAGCGUUGUCCGGAAUUAUUGGGCGUAAAGGGCUCGCAGGCGGUUUCUUAAGUCUGAUGUGAAAGCCCCCGGCUCAACCGGGGAGGGUCAUUGGAAACUGGGAAACUUGAGUGCAGAAGAGGAGAGUGGAAUUCCACGUGUAGCGGUGAAAUGCGUAGAGAUGUGGAGGAACACCAGUGGCGAAGGCGACUCUCUGGUCUGUAACUGACGCUGAGGAGCGAAAGCGUGGGGAGCGAACAGGAUUAGAUACCCCCGUAGUCCCUGUCUCUUAUAA
rnacentral:rRNA from 1 species